rnacentral:rRNA from 1 species
AACGAACGCUGGCGGCGUGCCUAACACAUGCAAGUCGAACGGAUUUGAGGGGCUUGCUCCUCAAGUUAGUGGCGCACGGGUGAGUAACGCGUGGAUAAUCUACCCAAUGCUCAGGGAUAACAUCUCGAAAGGGGUGCUAAUACCUGAUAAGCCCACGGGCUCUUCGGAGUUUGCGGGAAAAGGGGGGGACCUUCGGGCCUCACGACAUUGGAUGAGUCUGCGUCCCAUUAGCUAGUUGGUGGGGUAAAGGCCUACCAAGGCGACGAUGGGUAGCUGGUCUGAGAGGAUGAUCAGCCACACUGGAACUGAGACACGGUCCAGACUCCUACGGGAGGCAGCAGUUGGGAAUUUUGCGCAAUGGGGGAAACCCUGACGCAGCAACGCCGCGUGAGUGAUGAAGGCCUUUGGGUCGUAAAGCUCUGUCAGAGGGAAAGAAGUGUGGGUGGUUAAUAGCCGUUCCACUUGACGGUACCCUCAAAGGAAGCACCGGCUAACUCCGUGCCAGCCGCCGCGGUAAAAC